AUGCAGAAGCAAGCAGCCAAGCAGUCCCUCUUUGUGCCACAUAACGACCCUGAACAGAGCACUUAUUUAAAUGCAUCAAGAUGGUUUCCAGCGACAGUGACGCAAGAUGGCAGCGAUGCAAGAUGGCAGCCACCACGGGCUUGGACAAUUUAUGAAAACCGAAUAUACAGCCUUAAAAUAGAAUGUGGACCUAAAUACCCAGAAGGACCUCUCUUUGUAAGAUUUGUAACAAAAAUUAAUAUGAAUGGAGUUAAUAGUUCUAAUGGAGUGGUGGACCCAAGAGCCAUAUCAGUGCUAGCAAAAUGGCAGAAUUCAUAUAGCAUCAAAGUUGUCCUGCAAGAGGUCCGGCGCCUAACGAUGUCUAAAGAAAACAUGAAACUCCCUCAGCCGCCCGAAGGACAGUGUUACAGCAAUUAAUCAAAAAGAGAAACCACAGGCCCUCC